GAAAUAUUUUUAUUUUAAGCUACUAACUUAAAUUCAAGUGAUUUAUUUCAUUUAUAUUUCU
rnacentral:tRNA from 1 species